UAAAUAAGCCUAAGUAGCUUGCCUCACCUCUCCCUCGUCUUUCUAAGUGUUUACAAAACUAUGAGGUUUCAUAAAAUAAAACUAUUACUGUAAAUUUUAGCUGACCUGGAAAAUCUUACCUUUUGCAUCAUGUGUGAAUAAUAAGUCACCUGCGCGUGAAUCUUACGAACUGUUUAGAAUAAUUUAUGUAAAAUUUAAACUGUGGUAGCAUUUUAAUAAAUAUAAAAAUUGGAAUGAUAUGUUAACAUUAAAUAGAUGCUUAUUAAAUUUUAUUGGAAUAAUUCCAACUAUCAGAGAGAUAAGAGAUGAGAAGAGAUAAGUUUUUUCAUUACCAAUUAAAUAGUAACGUCUGCAAUUUUUAAUAUAAAUAUUAAUGUUAAUCUGAGUUUAUAAAAAUUCUUUAAAUUUUAGUAUUUAAUCUUUUAUAAAAAAAAUUUUUUAAGGGAACUUUCCAAUUUUUCCUUAAAAAUAUAUUUACAUGAGUAGUUAAGCUGUACACCCGCAUAGUAAGAUAGGUCCUUAUUUAGAUUAUACCGUUCCACAUUAUAGUAAAAGCACUCGUCUAAAUAUAUUUAGCCUGUUUAUCAAAAACACCGUAAAUUAUAUUUAUAAUACCUGCUCAGUGAAUACUUAAACAGCCGCGUUAGUGCUAAGGUAGCAUAAUAAUUAGUUUUUUAAUUGGAAAAUGGAAUGAAUGGUUUCACUAAAAUAUAGCAUUUACACUAGUAAGUGAAAUUUUAAUUUAAGUGAAAAUUCUUAAAAGACCCACUUAGACGAGAAGACCCUAUGAAUCUGGUAAACUAAGAAUAUGCCUACAAUAGUUAAUUGUUUAUUUUUUGGGGUAAAAAUUAAUAAAAAUAUUAAUAAAUACUUAUUUAACUUAAUCCUCUAGGAAACAUGAAGAAGAUCCUCUAGGGAUAACAGCAUUAUACUUAAAAGAGUUCUUAUCAGAAUAAGUGUUUGUGACCUCGAUGUUGAAUUAAAUACUCCCGUGUGUGUAGGAGCUCACUGGAGACGGUCUGUUCGACCUAUAAUAUUUACAUGAUUUGAGUUAAAAUCGACGUAAGUCAGAUUGGUUUCUAUCUAGUGUGUAAAUUAUUAUCGCUUAGUACGAAAGGAAUAGCUAUAAUUUUAAUUCA
rnacentral:rRNA from 1 species